CCGAGUUUACAACUCCCAAACCCCUGUGAACAUACCUUAUGUUGCCUCGGCGGAUCAGCCCGCGCCCCGUAAAAAGGGACGGCCCGCCGCAGGAACCCUAAACUCUGUUUUUAGUGGAACUUCUGAGUAUACAAAACAAAUAAAUCA
rnacentral:misc_RNA from 1 species